GAGUAAAGCUUUAGCGCUUUGGGAUAGGCUCAUGUCCCAUCAGGUUGAUGGUGGGGUAACUGCCUACCAUGCCGAUGACGGGUAGCUGGUCUGAGAGGAUGUCCAGCCAGACUGGGACUGCGACACGGCCCAGACUCCUACGGGAGGCAGCAACUAGGAAUCAUGCGCAAUGGACGAAAGUCUGACGCUGUGACGUCGCGUGCUGGAUGAAGGCCCUAGGGUUGUAAACAGCUUUUAUUGGGGAACAAGUUCUGAGUGUACCCAAUGAAUAAGUGCCUGCUAAUCACGUGCCAGAAGCAUCGGUAAUACGUGAGGCACAAGCGUUAUCCGGAUUUACUGGGCGUAAAGAGAUGCGUAGGCGUCCUAGUAAGUUUCUAGUUAAAUCUUCCUGCUCAACGGGAAACAAGCUAGAAAAACUAUUAGGAUUGAGUUUGGUAGAGAAGGGGGGAAUUCCUGGUGGAGCGGUUAAAUGCGUUGAUAUCAGGAGGAACACCAAAUGCGAAGGCACCCCUUUGGACCAAUACUGACGCUAAGGCUCGAAAGCGUGGGGAGCAAAACGGAUUAGAUACCCGUGUAGUCCACGCCGUAAACGAUCCCUGCUAGAUAUUUGAAUGUUCCUCGAUUUCUGACUUCGGUCAGAAUGAGAGAGUGUUUAAGUGUCGCAGCUAACGCGUUAAGCAGGGCGCCUAUGGAGUACGGCCGCAAGGUUAAAACAUAAAGGAAUUGACGGGGACCCGCACAAGCAGUGGAGCGCCUGGUUUAAUUCGAUGAUCAGCGAAGAACCUCACCUGGGCUUGAACUGUAGCUGCAUCCCGACAGAAACGUCGGGAGCCUUCGAGGGUGCUACAGAGGUGCUGCAUGGCUGUCGUCAGCUCGUGUCGUGAGAUGUAGGGUUAAGUCCCAUAACGAGCGCAACCCCUAUCUAGUGUUAUAUAUUUCUCUAGAGACUGCCUUGUAAUAACGAGGAGGAAGGAGGGGACGACGUCCAGUCAUCAUAUCCCUUAUGUCCAGGGCUACACAGACGCUACAAUGGCCGGUACAACGGGUAGCCAAAUCGCGAGAUGGAGCCAAUCCCAUCAAAACCGGUCUCAGUUCAGAUUGCAGUCUGCAACUCGACUGCAUGAAGUCGGAAUUGCUAGUAAUCGUGGAUCAGCACGCCGCGGUGAAUACGUUCUCGGGUCUGUACACACCGCCCGUCAGGGCACGGGAGCUGCUCUCACUCGAAG
rnacentral:rRNA from 1 species